rnacentral:rRNA from 1 species
AGAGCGAACGCUGGCGGCAGGCUUAACACAUGCAAGUCGAGCGGGCGUAGCAAUACGUCAGCGGCAGACGGGUGAGUAACGCGUGGGAACGUACCUUUUGGUUCGGAACAACACAGGGAAACUUGGUGCGUAAUACCGGAUAAGCCCUUACGGGGAAAGAUUUAUCGCCGAAAGAUCGGCCCGCGUCUGAUUAGCUAGUUGGUGGGGUAACGGCUCACCAAGGCGACGAUCAGUAGCU